AUGAACCUCUGUCUUCUUCUAAAACACCUUUCCAAGCUUCAUGAUUAUGGAACCACCGAGCCUACUAGCUACUUCAUCACAAACUAUGGAUGGACUACAACGUGGGACUUGGAUAAUUGUGGCAAUGCGAUUACUCCCGUCUGGCAUGAUAUUAAGGGUUUGGACUUCUUCCGCUCGAUCACUCGGGUCUCAAUUGGAAACGGCACUACCACAUCCUUCUGGUAUGACCUAUGGUUGCCAAAUGGCAACAUCUCCCUUUCUCAACAAUUCCAGGCUCUGUUCUCCCACUCCAACCGGCAGACAACGUCUGUCGCGUGGGUGAUGGCCUCUCCACAGCUAAACCUUGACCUUACGCCCCGGCUAUCGUAUGCAGCAGAGAACGAACUAGCUAGCUUGCACACCAUUUUGGCAACGAUAAACUUGAAUAUGCAGGUCGCCGACGUGAGAACUAACAGGUUGGAUGGCAAGCCUCUAACCAACCGCAGGGCCUAG
rnacentral:rRNA from 1 species